rnacentral:lncRNA from 1 species
AGCCGCCCGUCUCCUUGUCUUCGGAACCCCAUUAUUGAUUAAGAUUCAGUUUGAAACCUUCAAUUCAUCUUGCAAAUUCAGUGCUUGUUUCCUCGUUCUUGCUAGUUCUUCGAUUGCUUGCAGGACGGGAGCCCUAGGGGCUGGUUGUCGCGCUCCACAAGAUCGUGACGGCUACUGGACGUGGUGUAUUGGUUGCUAAGGCGUGGUCUUGAGGGCUGUAGUCGGGCCGUGAACGUCAUCUCCAUCCACCAAUCGAGUUACCCAGCGCCUCUCAUCGAAAGAUCAGGCGAAAACCCUAGUGGGUUCACAUCAGUUGGUAAUCAGAGCAAGGUUCUUCGGUGAGAGACUUCUAGUCCUUUGCUGUUUUUAAUUAAUUUCCUAUAGUCCAGAAAAGCCAAAAAAAUAUAGUAGAUUAGUUUUUCCAUAAUCCUAUUAAACCUUUGUGCCUUGGCUAGUACCGUUUUAGUUAGGGCUUGUUGAAUUUGCGUUGCUUCGGUUUGUGUCGAGUUGCUGGUCUUAGUGUCUAGUCCUUUAGAGUUUCGAGUUCUUGUCACCAUCUAUACACAGCCGAGUACCAUAUCUUCUCUCUGUCGAAUCUGUUGUGAAGUCCAAAUUGAACUGUGAUCCAAAAAGAAAGAUAACUCCAUACUUGUUCGGCCUUACUCUAGAGAGAGAGAGAGAGUGUGUGUGUAGCGAAUUGCUCUUUUGUAUUCCUUUGUUCAUAUAAUCAGUUUUUGAGGUUGCCCAAAAAAAAGAAAAAAAAGAAAAGAGAAAAGAUUCAAAAGAAAAAAAAAGGGGCUGUUUUUCAUAUUGAUUUUAGGUUUCUUCCACCUUGUUUUCGGGGGUGUGCUGUGGUUUUCCUUUGUGUCCAGGCUCGCGUCUCUAGCACGGUCUAGCCUAGGACCAGCACAGUACCAUCGUCGAACGCUUAUUCAGCUCCCUUUUAUAACUAACGUGGUGCUAGUUCGUUCCUUGUUUCAGCCCACCUAUAGCUCCACAUACUCUACAGCUUGACAGGUCUUGUGCUGCAGCACCGAUACACUUCGUCCAUUGCUGUACACUUGUUGGCAGACGACCCCUCCUGUCAAGCAAGGUAAGAAUUGGUAAGAACUUGUGUUACAGGUUGAGUGUGAGCGACUUGCUGUAGCUACAUCCUAGUAGUUGUAGGGCUUUUAUUUCUUCACUUGCCUUUUUGUUGUCUUUGUCUUUGAACCAUGCCAGGGGCAGAUGAUGGUAACGAAACACCACUUACACCUCGCACUAAGGGCAUCAUACAACAUUUUGAAAGGAAAGUGAAGCUGCACACAGAGGGACUUGAUAACGACUUGCAGGUGACGAAUGAAAAGCUGGGGCAGUUGGAGGCUACGCAGAUUGCCACAAACAACAAGCUCACAAGUUUGGAGGAAUCCGUUGCUAGUGUGGACAAAAGCCUUGCUGCUCUCCUAAGGCGAUUUGAUGCUUUCCACACCGAAGAUAAAGAGAAGCAUAAAGAAGAAAAGGAGGGAGAUCGAGAGCACGGUAGUCAUGAAGAUGACUACACUGGUGAUACUGAACAUGAUGAUCAAGACACUCGUGAUCGACGUCGCCUUCGUCACAACCGUAGAGGUAUGGGUGGCAACCGCCGACGCGAGGUACACAAUAAUGAUGAUGCUUUCAGUAAGAUUAAAUUUAAGAUACCCCCUUUUGAUGGUAAAUAUGACCCUGAUGCUUACAUCACUUGGGAGAUUGCUGUUGAUCAAAAGUUUGCAUGUCAUGAAUUUCCUGAGACUACACGUGUUAGGGCUGCUACUAGUGAGUUUACAGAUUUUGCUUCUGUUUGGUGGAUAGAAUAUGGAAAGAAAAAUCCUAAUAACUUACCUAGAACUUGGGAUGCGCUGAAAAGGGCCAUGGGAGCUAGAUUUGUUCCAUCUUACUAUGCGCGUGAUAUGAUAAAUAAGUUGCAGCAGUUAAGACAAGGUGCUAAAAGUGUAGAAGAAUAUUAUCAGGAAUUACAAACGGGUAUGUUGCGUUGUAACCUAGAGGAGGAUGAGGAACCGGCUAUGGCUAGAUUUUUGGGUGGGUUAAAUCGGGAAAUUCAGGACAUCCUCGCUUACAAAGAAUACAAUAAUGUAACCCGUUUGUUUCAUCUUGCUUGUAAAGCUGAAAGGGAAGUGCAGGGACGACGUGCUAGCACAAGGAGUAAUAUUUCUGGAGGGAAGGCUAAUUCAUGGCAGCAACACAUGGCUUCAACUCCAUCUACACGUAUUUCUACUCCAUCAUCUAGUGACAAGGCUCGAGCUACCCCCACCAAUUCAGUUGUGAAGACGAUGCAAAAGCCUACUGCGAGUACUUCAUCCGUGGCAUCGACGGGUAGAACAAGCAACAUACAAUGUCAUCGGUGCAAGGGAUAUGGGCACAUGAUGCGUGACUGCCCAAACAAGCGAGUUAUGAUUGUCAGGGAUGAUGGUGAGUACUCAUCUGCUAGUGAUUUUGAUGAGGAUACACUUGCACUGCUUGCGACUGACCAUGCAGGUAAUGAAGAUCAAAUAGAAGAACAUAUUAAUGCAGGUGAAGCGGACCACUAUGAGAGCUUGAUCGUGCAGCGAGUGCUUAGUGCACAAAUGGAGAUGGCGGAACAAAAUCAGCGACACAUUUUAUUCCAAACAAAGUGUGUCAUCAAAGAGCGUUCUUGUCGCAUGAUCAUUGAUGGAGGUAGCUGCAACAACUUGGCAAGCAGCGAUAUGGUGCAGAAGCUUGCCCUCAACACCAAACCACACCCGCAUCCCUACUACAUCCAAUGGCUGAACAACAGUGGUAAGGCAAAGGUAACUAGACUUGUGAGAAUUAAUUUUUCCAUCAGAUCCUACAAAGAUAUUGUUGAAUGUGAUGUUGUGCCUAUGCAAGCUUGUAACAUUCUGCUAGGUAGACCUUGGCAAUUUGAUAGAGAUUCUAUGCAUCAUGGUAGAUCAAAUCAGUAUUCUUUUCUAUACCAUGGUCACAAAAUUGUGUUGCAUCCUAUGUUCCCUGAAACUAUUAUGCAAACUGAUGUUGCUAGGGCUACUAAAGCAAAGAGUGAGAGCAAUAAAAAUGAUAAAUCUGUAAUUGGUAACAAAGAUGAGAUAAAACUAAAAGGACGUUGUAUGAUAGCUACCAAAUCAGAUAUUAAUGAGUUCAAUGCAUCCACUUCUGUUGCUUAUGCUGUGAUAUGCAAGGAUGCUUUGAUUUCAAUUGAGGAUAUGCAAUGUUCUUUGCCCCCUGCUGUUGCUAACGUUUUGCAGGAGUAUUCUGAUGUGUUUCCAAGUGAGGUACUAGCGGGGCUGCCUCCACUACGUGGGAUUGAGCACCAAAUUGAUCUUAUUCCUGGAGCAGUUUUGCCAAAUCGUGCACCAUACAGGACAAACCCGAAGGAAACAAAGGAAAUUCAGCGACAAGUGCAAGAACUACUAGACAAAGGUUAUGUCCGAGAAUCUCUUAGUCCUUGUGCUGUUCCAAUAAUUUUAGUGCCUAAGAAAGAUGGAACAUGGCGUAUGUGUGUUGAUUGUAGAGCUAUUAAUAAUAUCACCAUUCGAUAUCGACACCCUAUUCCACGAUUAGAUGAUAUGCUAGAUGAACUGAGUGGUGCUGUUGUGUUUUCAAAAGUUGAUUUACGUAGUGGGUACCACCAGAUUCGUAUGAAAUUGGGAGAUGAAUGGAAAACUGCUUUCAAAACUAAGUUCGGUUUGUAUGAGUGGUUAGUCAUGCCUUUUGGGUUAACUAAUGCACCUAGUACUUUCAUGAGAUUAAUGAACGAGGUUUUGCGUGCUUUCAUUGGGAAAUUUGUUGUCGUAUAUUUUGAUGACAUAUUGAUUUACAGCAAAUCAUUGGAUGAACAUCUUGAUCAUUUACGUGCUGUUUUUAAUGCACUACGCGAGGCACGUUUAUUUGGUAACCUUGAGAAGUGCACCUUUUGCACCGAUCGAGUGUCUUUUCUUGGUUAUGUUGUGACUCCACAGGGAAUUGAGGUUGAUCAAGCCAAGGUGGAAGCUAUACAGGGAUGGCCUGUCCCAAAUACUAUCACCCAGGUGCGGAGUUUCCUAGGACUUGCUGGAUUCUAUCGCCGUUUUGUGAAGGAUUUCAGCACCAUUGCUGCACCAUUGAAUGAGCUUACAAAGAAGGGGGUGCCUUUUGAUUGGGGCAAAGCACAAGAGAAUUCAUUCAACAUGUUGAAAGAUAAGUUAACUCAUGCACCUCUCCUACAACUUCCUGAUUUUAAUAAGACUUUUGAGCUUGAAUGUGAUGCUAGUGGAAUUGGUUUGGGAGGUGUUUUAUUACAAGAGGGAAAACCUAUUGCAUAUUUUAGUGAGAAAUUGAGUGAGCCUGUUCUCAAUUAUUCAACUUAUGAUAAAGAACUCUAUGCUCUUGUUAGAACAUUAGAGACAUGGCAGCAUUAUUUGUGGCCCAAAGAGUUUAUUAUCCAUUCUGAUCAUGAAUCUUUGAAACAUAUUCGUAGUCAAGGAAAACUGAAUCGUAGGCAUGCAAAAUGGGUUGAAUUUAUUGAAUCUUUUCCUUAUAUUAUUAAGCACAAGAAAGGGAAGGAAAAUAUUAUUGCUGAUGCUUUAUCACGGAGAUAUACUUUGCUGAAUCAACUUGAUUACAAGAUAUUUGGGUUAGAAACAAUUAAAGACCAAUAUGUUCAUGAUGCUGAUUUUAGAGACGUGUUGCUGCAUUGUAAAGAUGGAAAAGGGUGGAAUAAAUUCAUCGUUAGUGAUGGGUUUGUGUUUAGAGCUAACAAGCUAUGCAUUCCAGCUAGCUCUGUUCGUUUGUUGUUGUUGCAGGAAGCGCAUGGAGGUGGCUUGAUGGGACAUUUUGGAGCAAAGAAGACCGAGGACAUACUUGCUGGUCAUUUCUUUUGGCCCAGGAUGAAGAGAGAUGUGGAGAGGUUUGUUGCUCGUUGCACAACAUGUCAAAAGGCAAAGUCACGGUUAAAUCCCCACGGUUUGUAUUUACCUCUUCCUGUUCCUAAUGCUCCUUGGGAGGAUAUAUCUAUGGAUUUUGUGUUGGGACUACCAAGGACUAGGAGGGGACGUGAUAGUGUGUUCGUGGUUGUUGAUAGAUUUUCUAAGAUGGCACAUUUCAUACCAUGUCAUAAAACUGAUGAUGCUACAAAUAUUGCUGAUUUGUUCUUUCGAGAAAUUGUUCGCUUACAUGGUGUGCCCAACACAAUUGUUUCUGAUCGUGAUGCUAAAUUUCUUAGUCAUUUUUGGAAGACUUUGUGGUUCAAAUUGGGGACUAAGCUUUUAUUUUCCAGCACCUGUCAUCCCCAAACUGAUGGUCAAACUGAAGUUGUUAAUAGAACUUUAUCCACUAUGUUAAGGGCUGUUUUAAAGAAGAAUAUUAAGAUGUGGGAAGAAUGUUUGCCUCAUGUUGAGUUCGCCUAUAAUCGUUCAUUGCAUUCUACUACAAAAAUGUGUCCUUUUGAGAUUGUCUAUGGCUUCUUGCCACGUGCUCCUAUUGAUUUAAUGCCUUUGCCAAGUUCUGAAAAAAUAAAUUUUGAUGCUAAGCAACGUGCUGAAUUGAUGUUAAAAUUGCAUUAGCCACUAAACAAAACAUAGAGCGCAUGAAUGCUAAGUACAAAUGCGCUGGAGAUAAAGGUAGAAAGCAAUUGAUUCUGGAACCUGGAGAUUUGGUUUGGUUGCAUUUGCGAAAAGAUAGUUUUCCAGAACUGAGAAAAUCCAAAUUGAUGCUUAGAGCUGAUGGUCCUUUUAAAGUGCUGCAACGAAUUAAUGAGAAUGCAUAUAGGCUUGAUCUUCCUGCAGAUUUUGGGGUUAGUCCCACAUUUAACAUUGCAGAUUUGAAGCCUUAUUUGGGUGAGGAAGAUGAGCUUGAGUCGAGGACGACUCAAAUGCAAGAAAGGGAGGAUGAUGAGGACAUCAACACCAGCGAUACAUAUCCUACAUCCACCAGCGAUACAUAUCCUACAUCCACCAGCGAUACAUAUCCUACAUCCUCUCCGACACAACCUAUAGCUGGUCCUCUUACUCGUGCUCGUGCCCGUCAACUCAACCUUCAAGUAAGUUCAGCUUUAAACUCUUGUCAAUCAUAUUUAGACAAUGGAGACCCGUGCACUUUGGUGUUGCUCAGGAAUAAUGGACAAGAUCAGCAAGGGAAGGUUCAACUACAUUCAGAAUUUGAGGCAACACCAACUUCAAGGGCUGAUUGCAUAUGGGAAGAGUGAUAACUUAACAAAGGUGAUUGGAGAUCAGGUCCAAGCCUCCACAACAUCCUCUGUCAAGUUACCACGUCGUUUCUAAAGCAAGGAAACAAAGAGUCCAAACCCAACACGUUUUGGGAGUUGGAUUCGGACUGGAAAAUAACUCUAACUUGUAUGGAUCACCACGGCGUGAUAUGGAGUCCAACUGGGACGUUCCUAUACUUGUUGGAAAGCUCAUGAAGUCUACUUUCCAAUGGGUCCAACGACAUAUCUAUGCGGCUUAUGAGUCGGGCGCAGUCCUUGUUUUCGUGCCGACACCUUUUUCUGUUUUGGUGCUGCGUCACCGUAUUUUGGACCAAUGGCCCAUGUAUCAAGUUGAGUCCAUUAGGGACGCGUCCUAGGGUUGGAGGACGACUCUAGCACCCCUUUGGUCAUCCUCCCCUCUAUUUAUUUACAUCUAGAGCCGCCAUGAACAACUGGGUUUUGAUUAGAUAAAGUUUAGCCUUCGCUACUUGCUUGUAAACGCGCGUGCUGAUCCAGCCGCCCGUCUUCUUGUUUUCGAAACCCCACUUCAUUAGAGAUUGAGUUUGAAACCUUCAUUAACAUCUGGUAAUUUAGUACUUGUUCUACUUGUUCUUGCUGGUUCUUCGAUUGCUUGCAGGACGAGUGCCCUAGUGGCCGGGUGUUGCGCUCCACAAGAUCGUGACAGCCAUUGGAGGCGGUGUAUCGGUUGCUAAGGCGCAGUCUUGAGGGCUGUAGUCGGGCCGUGAACGUCAUCUCCAUUCACUAAUCGAGUUAUCCAGCGCCUCUCAUCGAAAGAUCAGGCGAAAACCCUAGUGGGUUCACAUCAGUUGGUAAUCAGAGCAAGGUUUAUCGGUGAGAGAUUUCCAAUUCUUCGUGUUUGUUUUUCCUAUAGUCCAAAAAAAAGACAAAAAAUAUAGCAAAUUUGUUUUCCAUAAUCCUAUAAAUCCUUUGUGCCGUGGCUAGUACUACUUAGUUAGGGCUGGUUGAAUGAGUGUUUGCUUCGGUUGUGUCCAGUGCUGGUUUUAGUUUAGUCCUUUAGAGUUUUGAGUUCAUGUCACCAUCUAGUCACAACUGCGUCCAAUCUAUUGUGGGUUGGAAUUUGAGUAGAUCUUGAUAAUAGGUGCAGCCACUUGUUUGUCUAUUCUGUGUUUCCAUCAACGUGAUCCAAAAGGAAAGAUAGCACUUCAUACUUGUGCUAGAUAUAUUGAAUUUUGAGGUUCAGCCUUACUCUAGUGAGAGGGUGAGAGUGGUGAAGUGAUAUUUUGUACUAUUUCGUUUAUAUAAUCCGGUUUUGAGGUUCCCCCAAAAAAAAAAGAAAAGAGAAAGAAAAAAAUAAAGAAAAAAAAAGAAAGAAAGAAAGAAAAAAAGAAAAAAAAAUCAAAAGAAGGGGAUUGUUGUUCUUUUUGUUUCCAGUAGGGCUGCUCAUUUUGUUUCUAGUGGUGUGCUGUGUUUUCCCUUUGUGUCCAGGCUCGCGUCUCUAGCACGGUCUAGGCUAGGACCAGCACAGUACCACC